GCUACAUCUACCUGCUCUGACUGCUGAUAGAGCCUGCUGACCGCUUCCUGAAUGCUUGGAUGCCAGGAAACCGCGCGGUUUACCGCCUGUUCAAGCUUUAAGGAGGUGGGCGCCAUGGCGGCUUGCGUCAGCGCGGCUCGCCCGUUUAGCGAGGGGAGCUCUUGCUGCUGCAUAAGCCGUUCGGCAGAGACGUUUUGCUCCCGUGCGCCGGUGUGAAGGCUAGCCACGCAGAGGCAGCCGGUCAGCCACCGCCCUAAGGGUCGUAAUUUUUCCAUGAUAGUAACUAUCUCUAAAUAUUUAAUCUUAUUGCCCCGGGCGUCUGCGCGCCCGGGGGUA
rnacentral:sRNA from 1 species